rnacentral:rRNA from 1 species
AUUGAACGCUGGCGGAAUGCUUUACACAUGCAAGUCGAGCGGCAGCGCGGGGGCAACCCUGGCGGCGAGCGGCGAACGGGUGAGUAAUACAUCGGAACGUGUCCUUCAAGUGGGGGAUAGCUCGGCGAAAGCCGGAUUAAUACCGCAUAAGCUCUGAGGAGGAAAGCGGGGGACUGGUAACGGCCUCGCGCUGUUGGAGCGGCCGAUGUCGGAUUAGCUAGUUGGUGGGGAAAGGCCCACCAAGGCGACGAUCCGUAGCUGGUCUGAGAGGAUGAUCAGCCACACUGGAACUGAGACACGGUCCAGACUCCUACGGGAGGCAGCAGUGGGGAAUUUUGGACAAUGGGGGCAACCCUGAUCCAGCCAUUCCGCGUGAGU